rnacentral:rRNA from 1 species
UACGAAGGGGGCUAGCGUUGUUCGGAUUUACUGGGCGUAAAGGGCACGUAGGCGGUUUGGUCAGUCAGGGGUGAAAUCCCAGAGCUCAACUCUGGAACUGCACUUAAUACUGCCAGUCUAGAGUCCGGAAGAGGUGAGUGGAACUCCUAGUGUAGAGGUGGAAUUCGUAGAUAUUAGGAAGAACACCAGUGGCGAAGGCGGCUCACUGGUCCGGUACUGACGCUGAGGUGCGAAAGCGUGGGGAGCAAACAGG